rnacentral:rRNA from 1 species
UAGGGAAUCUUCGGCAAUGGGGGCGAACCCUGACCGAGCAACGCCGCGUGAGUGAAGAAGGUUUUCGGAUCGUAAAGCUCUGUUGUGAGAGAAGAACGUGUGUGAGAGUGGAAAGUUCACACAGUGACGGUAACUUACCAGAAAGGGACGGCUAACUACGUGCCAG